rnacentral:rRNA from 2 species
UUCGCAAUGCCCGAAAGGGUGACGAAGCGACGCCGCGUGGGUGAAGAAGGCCUUCGGGUUGUAAAACCCUGUCAGGAGUUAAGAAGUGCAAGCUCGAUAAUACCGGGUUUGUUUGACAAAGGCUCCAAAGGAAGCCACGGCUAACUCUGUGCCAGCAGCCGCGGUAAUACAGAGGUGGCGAGCGUUGUUCGGAAUUACUGGGCGUAAAGAGCACGUAGGUGGAUUUGUAAGUCAGAUGUGAAAGCCUUCUGUUCAACGGAAGAAUUGCAUCUGAAACUGCAAACCUUGAGUAUAGGAGGGGAGAAUGGAACUUCUGGUGGAGCGGUGAAAUGCGUAGAUAUCAGAAGGAACGCCGGCGGCGAAAGCGAUUCUCUGGCCUGUUACUGACACUGAGUGUGCGAAAGCUAGGGGAGCAAACGGGAUUAGAUACCCCGGUAGUCCUAGCCGUAAACGAUGGGCACUAAGUAGAGGGGUUUU